GACGAACGCUGGCGGCGUGCUUAACACAUGCAAGUCGAACGGAAAGGCCCUGCUUUUGUGGGGUGCUCGAGUGGCGAACGGGUGAGUAACACGUGAGUAACCUGCCCUUGACUUUGGGAUAACUUCAGGAAACUGGGGCUAAUACCGGAUAGGAGCUCCUUCUGCAUGGUGGGGGUUGGAAAGUUUCGGCGGUUGGGGAUGGACUCGCGGCUUAUCAGCUUGUUGGGGGGGUAGUGGCUUACCAAGGCUUUGACGGGUAGCCGGCCUGAGAGGGUGACCGGCCCCAUUGGGACUCAGAUACGGGCCAGACUCCUACGGGAGGAAGCAGUGGGGAAUAUUGCACGAUGGGCGGCAGCCUGAUGCAGCAACGCCGCGUGCGGGAUGACGGCCUUCGGGUUGUAAACCGCUUUCGCCUGUGACGAAGCGUGAGUGACGGUAAUGGGUAAAGAAGCACCGGCUAACUACGUG
rnacentral:rRNA from 1 species